GACGAACGCUGGCGGCGUGCUUAACACAUGCAAGUCGAACGGAAAGGCCCUGCUUGCAGGGUACUCGAGUGGCGAACGGGGGAGUAACACGUGUGUGUUCUGCCCUGCACUUCGGGAUAAGCCUGGGGAACUGGGUCUAAUACCGGAUAGGAGCCAUCCUUCGUGUGAUGGUUGGAAAGUUUUUUCGGUGUAGGGUGAGCUCGCGGCCUAUCAGCUUGUUGGUGGGGUAAUGGGCUAACAAGGCGGCGACGGGUAGCCGGCCUGGGAGGGUGGACGGCCACAUUGGGACUGAGGUAAGGCCCAGACUCCUACGGGAGGGAGGAGUGGGGAAUAUUGCACAAUGGGGGCAAGCCUGAUGCAGCGACGCCGCGUGGGGGAUGACGGCCUUCGGGUUGUAAACUCCUUUCGCUCGGGACGAAGCUUUUUGUGACGGUACCUAGAUAAGAAGCACCGGCUAACUACGUG
rnacentral:rRNA from 1 species